GACAGAGGAUGCAAGCGUUAUCCGGAAUGAUUGGGCGUAAAGCGUCUGUAGGUGGCUUUUUAAGUCUGCCGUCAAAUCCCAGGGCUUAACCCUGGACAGGCGGUGGAAACUACCAAGCUGGAGUACGGUAGGGGCAGGGGGAAUUUCCGGUGGAGCGGUGAAAUGCGUAGAGAUCGGAAAGAACACCAACGGCGAGAGCACUCUGCUGGGCCGACACUGACACUGAGAGACGAAAGCUAGGGGAGCGAAUGGG
rnacentral:rRNA from 1 species